UACAGAGGGGGCAAGCGUUGUUCGGAAUUACUGGGCGUAAAGGGCGCGUAGGCGGCCUUCUAAGUCGAACGUGAAAUCCCCGGGCUCAACCCGGGAACUGCGUCCGAUACUGGAAGGCUUGAAUCCGGGAGAGGGAUGCGGAAUUCCAGGUGUAGCGGUGAAAUGCGUAGAUAUCUGGAGGAACACCGGUGGCGAAGGCGGCAUCCUCGGACCGGCAUUGACGCUGACGGCGCGAAAGCCAGGGGAGCAAACGGGG
rnacentral:rRNA from 1 species